CUGGCGGCGUGCCUAACACAUGCAAGUCGAACGGAGAUUUAACGCUGAUGAAGCUUCGGCAGAUUCUGUUAAAUCUAGUGGCGGACGGGUGAGUAACGCGUGGGCAACCUGCCUCAUACUGGGGGAUAACAGCUGGAAACGACUGUUAAUACCGCAUAAGCGCACAGCAUCGCAUGAUGCAGUGUGAAAAACUCCGGUGGUAUGAGAUGGGCCCGCGUCAGAUUAGCCAGUUGGCAGGGGUAACGGCCUACCAAAGCGACGAUCUGUAGCCGGCCUGAGAGGGCGGACGGCCACAUUGGGACUGAGACACGGCCCAAACUCCUACGGGAGGCAGCAGUGGGGGAUAUUGCACAAUGGAGGAAACUCUGAUGCAGCGACGCCGCGUGAAGUGAAGAAGUAUUUCGGUAUGUAAAGCUCUAUCAGCAGGGAAGAAAGACUCGUAAGAGAGAUGACGGUACCUGACUAAGAAGCCCCGGCUAACUACGUGCCAGCAGCCGC
rnacentral:rRNA from 1 species